GAUAUCAACUGAAAAAGUCAUCAACAACAAAGUUGGAUAACUCGUCAAGAUCUAAAACUUUUAUUUUAAUCAUUUCUUCAUACGACAAAGUGAUAGUAACAUUGUUCACAAAAUUGACAUAUCUCUUAUCUGGUUUUAUAAACUAUAACACAUAUAUGUAAAUUUUGUGAAUAAUAUUACUAACAUUUCGUCGGAUGAAGAAAUAACAAAAAUAAAAGUUUUAGAUCUUGAUGAGUUAUUCAACUUUGUUGUUGAUGACUUUUUCAAUUGAAAUC
rnacentral:pre_miRNA from 1 species